rfam:Daucus carota subsp. sativus cultivar DH1 chromosome 7, whole genome shotgun sequence.
UAGUACAUGGGAUGUUGGUGCGGUUCAAUUUGAUAGUGGUGCUUUGCAAGGUUUGAAGCACCGUUCAUCUGAUUGAGCCGUGCCAAUAUCGCGUGUUGAGUU